UGAGGAACAUGACUUCCGGUGGGGGAUAGCCGGCCCAACGGCCGGGUAAUACCGCGUACGACCUCUUGGGGACAUCCCCGAGUGGUGAAAGCAGCAAUGCGCCGAAAGAGUGCCUCGCGGCCUAUCAGCUAGUUGGUGAGGUAACGGCUCACCAAGGCGACGACGGGUAGCUGGUCUGAGAGGAUGGCCAGCCANAUUGGGACUGAGACACGGCCCAGACCUCCGUACGGGA
rnacentral:rRNA from 1 species